AUACACAGUGUUUUCAUGGGGAUGACUGGACUUCAUAAAUUUAUCACUGCCUGGCCAUGUGCAGCUUUUGAUCCUUCCUGCCGGGCCUGGUUGGAUCUGGGAGCGUUCAGUUGCCGCUCUGACACGUGUGUCUCUAUCCGUCUUCCUAUAUGUUGAACUUGGCUGUCCCCAUCAGAGACAGGAGGCAAUGCCAGCUCUUGAGGAAGCACAGGGGCUGGAAGGUGACAGCUGGCCUUGGGUGAGUGUGGACAUACCUUCCCAGAGGCAGACACGCACUUGCUGGAGCUUCUCGCGAGUGAGGUUUUACUGCUAGGCAUACCCUGUCUGGGCCCUGGUAUUGCCACCCAGGGAGGUUCCUACAAUGUGAUGCUGGCGAUGGAAAGACCUUGGAUUCGGCUGCCAUUUCCAUGUGACAAAGCCUGAGAUAGUCUGUCCUCCUCUGGGUCACAGGCUUGAGCGAAUGAGACAUUCUGUCUACGUGCCGAGAGCUCCUUGGAAGCAAAGCCUUGGUGGAGAUAAGGAAAGUCUCACAGCCCGCUGCUGGGCUUUGGAGGGGCCAGUGUAAGAUAAUUCUACCUGUGUCCAGUUGGGAAACAACAUAAAAACAAGCAAACAAAAAUCCAGGACACUGCUGCUCCAAGAGUGAUGAGACAGUGAGCUGUCUGGGAGCUGCUUCUGCAGGUGUCAUGGUCCCUCAGAAGGAAAAUUGCUUGAGUCAGGACUUCAGAAUCCUCACAUCUCUAGUGACUGGCAAGAACCACAGCCACAGACCACUGAAGUGGAACCGACUUUGGAGAUCAGAGAAUCCACGCUUACUCUUUUUCAGAUAUAUGAAAUGAGUCUCAGAAGGGGCAGGUACUCUGCCCACGGCUAUUCUUAAUGCAAUGCUCAACAGGUGUCUGUGCUACCAGGGCAGGGCACUGCAUGCAGGUCAUGGUCAAGGGUAGCCCUGUAGCUCCUAUCACAAUUCUCUGCUAUUAUUUGGUCUAGCAGUUCCCAGAAAGUUCAUUUGUUUUUAAAGCAGGAUGUAACCUUUCCCCCUGAUAAUGCAAUGCAAAUUGUGCCUUGGGUCCAACUGCUCAUCAGUCCUUGUCAUCAAGUUAGGAUGUCUGUCCCUUGAGAU